rnacentral:lncRNA from 1 species
UGGGGCUAUAGGCUGCUUCCUACCUCUGGGCAGUGCUAAUGGGAGUACCCACUACUCCUCAGCCCCACAGCCUGAUGUGUCAGCAAUAUGUUCCGGUGAUGGAGAGCAGGCUUGGGCCUGGACUCCAAGGGACAAUAGCUGCAAAUCCCCAUCAGUCAACUCAGCUUCCUGCCUCCUUUUGUGUGUCGAUUGUCACAGAGGUACCUGGUGCCGAGAGAUACCUUCCUACCAACGAAUCUCUCAUUCUUAGAGUCUUGAUGUCUGGUAGCUCUAGAUUGCCUCACUUGUCCAAGGAUACUCCCAUAGAGGUUCAACUGUCACCUUAUGCUCAGGCUUGUGUGUGUGUGUGUGUGUGUGUGUGUGUGUGUGUGUGUGUGUGUGCAUGUGUAUCCUAUAGCUUGCACCUGGACAUCCUAUGCAUUGGUAUGAAUUCUUCACCCCUCUGAUGGCUCUCUUCCUGCAAGGCACAGCAGGGUUAAGGUCAGAGGUCCUCCCACUUCCUGUCUCUAGGGAACAGUGAUCAACUCCUUGAUUUAGGGCUCCAUUAUCCACUGGUGUAGUGGGGGUAUAAUACUGAUGUGUGCUAUGCUUUUUUUUCCUGUCCCAGUUUUCCCCGACUAUCCUGUCUCUAUGACAGCCUGCUCCUGUGACACUAGCUCCAUACUCUAUGGUAGAACUUUCUGCAAAAAGCCCCAGAGUGUGAGACUGCCGGUUUACAUGCCUCUUAAGUUAGUUUGGAAGGAAUAGAAAACAGGCUUGUCCUUUGCAGUUCUCAUGAGAUAUUUUAAGCUCUGUCUGUCUUCAAGUACUCACAUGUACACACCUAGAUAGGCUCACACAUGCACAUCGUGCGCGCAAGGCUCACAUGCACACGCAGAAAUCUGCGCUUGCUUCAGCAUUGCCUGUAAUCGCCAGUCAUCAUAUCCUGUAGAUUUUUUACUCAUGCUCCAAUAUAGUCCUUUACAGCUCUCCUCUCAUCAUUAAAGAGUAAAAAUAAGGGCUGGAGAGAUGGCUC